rnacentral:rRNA from 1 species
GACGAACGCUGGCGGCGUGCUUAACACAUGCAAGUCGAACGGAAAGGCCCUGCUUUUGUGGGGUGCUCGAGUGGCGAACGGGUGAGUAACACGUGAGUAACCUGCCCUUGACUUUGGGAUAACUUCAGGAAACUGGGGCUAAUACCGGAUAGGAGCUCCUGCUGCAUGGUGGGGGUUGGAAAGUUUCGGCGGUUGGGGAUGGACUCGCGGCUUAUCAGCUUGUUGGUGGGGUAGUGGCUUACCAAGGCUUUGACGGGUAGCCGGCCUGAGAGGGUGACCGGCCACAUUGGGACUGAGAUACGGCCCAGACUCCUACGGGAGGCAGCAGUGGGGAAUAUUGCACAAUGGGCGGAAGCCUGAUGCAGCAACGCCGCGGGCGGGAUGACGGCCUUCGGGUUGUAAACCGCUUUCGCCUGUGACGAAGCGUGAGUGACGGUAAUGGGUAAAGAAGCGCCGGCUAACUACGUGC